rnacentral:rRNA from 1 species
GGUAAACGCUGGCGGCGUGCCUAAAACAUGCAAGUCGAACGGGCAGUCUUCGGAUUGUCAGUGGCAGACGGCUGAGUAACGCGUGGGUGACGUACCUAUCGGUGGGGAAUAACUGCCCGAAAGGGUGGCUAAUACCGCAUACGUCCACUGCUUCGUGGCAGUGGGGAAAACCGCAAGGUGCCGAUGGAGCGGCCCGCGUUCGAUUAGCUGGUUGGUGGGGUAACGCCUACCAAGGCGACGANCGAUAGCUGGUCUCAGAGGAUGAUCAGCCAGACUGGGACUGAGACACGGCCCAGACUCCUACGGGAGGCAGCAGUUAGGAAUUUUGGGCAAUGGGCGCAAGCCUGACCCAGCAACGCCGCGUGGGUGACGAAGGCCUU